UACGUAGGUGGCAAGCGUUGUCCGGAUUUAUUGGGUUUAAAGGGUGCGUAGGCGGCCCUGUAAGUCAGUGCUGAAAUAUCCCGGCUUAACCGGGAGGGUGGCAUUGAUACUGCAGGGCUUGAGUAAAGUUGAGGUUGGCGGAAUUGACGGUGUAGCGGUGAAAUGCGUAGAUAUCGAGAGGAACACCUGCGGCGAAGGCGGGUUGCUGGGCUGACACUGACGCUGAUGUGCGAAAGCUAGGGGAGCGAACGGG
rnacentral:rRNA from 1 species